GCCUGAGUGGCUCAUUUGGUUGAGCCUCUGACUUCGGCUCAGGUCACGAUCUCACGGUUUGUGGGUUUGAGUCCCAUGUUGGGCC
rnacentral:tRNA from 1 species